UACGUAGGGUGCAAGCGUUGUCCGGAAUUAUUGGGCGUAAAGAGCUCGCAGGCGGUCUGUCGCGUCGGCUGUGAAAUCCCGGAGCUCAACUCCGGGUCUGCAGUCGAUACGGGCAAACUGGAGUACUGCAGGGGAGACUGGAAUUCCUGGUGUAGCGGUGAAAUGCGCAGAUAUCAGGAGGAACACCGGUGGCGAAGGCAGUGUCCUGGGGAGUGCCUGACGCUCAGGUGCGAAAGCCAGGGGAGCGAACGGG
rnacentral:rRNA from 1 species